AUGGCUCAAGAUAACACUAAAUUGUGUGACUUCACCAAUACUAACAAUAAUGAUUUUAUUAGCACUCUGAUUGCUCCUCUUACCAAUGCUGAAUCUUGUGAAAUUAAUACUGCUUUGCUGAAUCUUGUCAUGAAAGAUCCGUUUUCCGACCUUCCUAGUGAAGAUGCCGCUACCCAUCUAAAUAGCUUCGUUGAUUUGUAUGAUAUGCAAAAGAAGAAAGAUAUGGAUAAUGAUAUUGUUAAAUUGAAGCUAUUUCCUUUUUCGCUUAGAGAUCGUGCUAAAGCUUGGUUUUCGUCUUUGCCUAAAAAUAGUAUUGAUUCAUGA
rnacentral:rRNA from 1 species